rnacentral:rRNA from 1 species
UACAGAGGUCUCAAGCGUUGUUCGGAUUCAUUGGGCGUAAAGGGUGCGUAGGCGGCGUGGUAAGUCGGAUGUGAAAUCUCGGAGCUUAACUCCGAAACUGCAUUCGAUACUGCCGUGCUUGAGGACUGGAGAGGAGACUGGAAUUUACGGUGUAGCGGUGAAAUGCGUAGAUAUCGGGAGGAACACCAGUAGCGAAGGCGGCACUCUGGGCCGGUACUGACGCUGAGGAGCGAAAGCGUGGGGAGCGAACAGG